UAGCCUUACUUUUUAAACACCGUAUAGCUUUUAUUAACAAUAGUUUACUUUUACAACUAUCAAAAUCUUGAAAAAACAAGAAAAUUUGGAUAAGAGAAAUUAUAUAUAUAUAUUUUUUUAAUCGUGGCGAAACCGGUUGCAAUAACAGCUGACAUUCCCGUAUAUUUUCAAGACAUCUAGGGGAGAAAUAACUAACUUCGUAGAAUUUUUAUGGGUAUGUCAGCUGGCUUGUCAGCUGUUUCAUUUCGCGUGGCUUCGGACAGAGGAUGGUCGAUGAAACGAACGUCUCUCUUCUUGAAAUUUUACCACCGAUUCCGUGUAUUUUGAGUUGCAUCUUGUGAAUUCAAUCAAUGCAGAGUUGUUCAAGGAGGAACAUGGCUUGGCUUUGCUAGCACGUUUUUCAUCUCCGUUAGUCUGAUAUACCCAUUUUGUACCCAAGGUGAUACGUAAAAAAAGUAGUUCUUUAUAAUAUUUUUCUCUAUCCAAAUUUCUUAGAUUCUUGGAGGUGUUAUCAGGUGAUGUUAGAAUGUAUUGUUAAUGGUUUAAGUUUUUUAAAUCAUGCUUUCAGGUCUUUGGGAUGUACCUGAUGUACUGUGGUGGCCGCAAAAUCAUUCAAGGACUUGGUUCAAUCUAGGACUAUGACUAGGACUUGGUAUUUUCUGUAGUGGUUUACAGUUUUAAUUUGCAGAGAUCCUGGAGGCACCUGAUGUGUUUCAUUGGCGUUGGAGUUACUCGGUGACAGAAGAGAAUGCAACUAAUGUUAUGUUGUCAGUUUAAAUAAAACAUAUCCAGUAUCA
rnacentral:lncRNA from 1 species